rnacentral:sRNA from 1 species
CCCGUCAUGAGCAAAAUUCUAUUGGAAAAGAUAAAACCGCCCAUUCUUGACAAAAUUUCACAAUUAUGUUAGAUUUAUUGUAGCCUAUUGUGAUAGUCGCAAUUACUAGAGUAUCGGCAAUUGGCCAAUUUUAACAGUGCUAGUUCUAGCCAAUCUAGGAGGAUUUUUUUAAUGAAAAACGGUAAGGUUAAAUGGUUCAACGCGGAAAAAGGUUUCGGGUUCAUUGAAGGUGAAGAUGGAAACGAUGUUUUCGUCCAUUUCUCUGCCAUCCAAUCUGAAGGCUUCAAGUCUUUGGAAGAAGGACAGGAAGUUUCCUUUGAAGUUAUUGAAGGAGCUCGUGGACCUCAGGCUUCAAACGUAGUCAAACUAUAAUAAAAAAUGAUUCAGCCCAGCCGCGAUGGCUGGGCUUUU